rnacentral:lncRNA from 1 species
CCAUCUGACUUGGCGCCGUAAUCGGCAAUGUUGUAUGCUGCUUCCCCAUACGACACAAGGUCGUCGAAGACGACCACGAGGAGGAGAACGAUGAAGCUCCUGAGCUGAGCCAUGAAAGCACCGCAGCCUCUACUGAAACCAAUACACUCGGUGGAGGUGUUUGAGAGCUUGAUGAAUGGACUGCUGAUAUUUAUAGGGUUCGUGUGAAGGUGUUUGUGUUGGUGGCUGAAGGAUGAAGGACGAAGCAAACACAGCCCGAGAUUUCCGAGGGAACACUCCCUCAGGUGUAUGCAUGUGAGAGAAUGCUGUAUUUUAUUAGCAUUUCUGCUUUUGGAUUCUUGGGUUUGGCAUUUUUAGAAGACAAGUAGGCACUAGAAAACGGGUUCUUCGAUCCGUCAAGGGAGAAGAAAUCCAAGAAUACCAUGUGCACUUGGUGUUGAAAGUCAACCGAGGUAGGAACACGGUGAGACCAUUUCGGUUGCUGCAAUCAAGAUCUCGAUGGCAACUGCUGCUGCCAUUCUUGAACUCGGGUUUAGCUUGCAAGUCAUCUGAUUGGGUUCUGCAUUCUUGUUGGAAGAGCUAAUCGAGUUUGAGUGGCACGAACUGGUUGAUAAGAAAGGCAUCAAACCUCGUCAUGCACUGUGACAAAUUUAGAUGAGUGGAGUUAAAAGCGGAGAUGAAGGCGGCAUUAAUUUGAGAUGUUAAAGUCAAAGAAGUAACAUUUCCGUCAACCAUAGGAAAUAUUGGCCUCUAAGUGUGGUUUUUUGUUCCUUGGUUAAUCGGUAUACCCCAAAGUCACAAGCCACCAAAUCAUACCUGUG